rnacentral:lncRNA from 1 species
UUUUGUCACCAUCAGGCCUGCCUUACAAGAGCUCAUGAAGGAAGCACUAAACAUGGAAAGGAACAACUGGUCCCAGCCACUGCAAAAACAUGCCAAAUUGUAAAGACUAUCGAGGCUAGGAAGAAACUGCACAAUUGAAAGAACUAGAGAAGAAAGAGCAUACACAUUCAAAAGCUAGCAGAAGGCAAGAAAUAACUAAGAUGAGAGCAGAACUGAAGGAGAUAGAGACACAAAAAACCCUUCAAAAAAAUCAAACAUCACACACUGGGGCCUAUUGUGGGGUGUGGGGAGAGGGGAGGGAUAGCAUUAGGAGAUACACCUAAUGUAAAUGAUGCAUUAAUGGGUGCAGCACACCAACAUGGCACAUGUAUACAUAUGUAACAGACCUGCACGUUGUGCACACGUACCCUAGAACUUAAAGUAUAAUAAAAAUACAUAAAUACAUAAAAUAAAAAUAUAAAAAAACAGGCUAAAUGAAUGAAUGAAUAACUCAAUGAGCGUUUUUCUGCUGGUUUCCAGCUUCAUCCAUGUCCCUACAAAGGACAUGAACUCAUCAUUUUUUAUGGCUGCAUAGUAUUCCAUGGUGUAUAUGUGCCACAUUUUCUUAAUCCAGUCUAUCAUUGUUGGACAUUUGGGUUGGUUCCAAGUCUUUGCUAUUGUGAAUAAUGCUGCAAUAAACAUACAUGUUCAUGUGUCUUUAUAGCAGCAUGAUUUAUAAUCCUUUGGGUAUAUACCCAGUAAUGGGAUGGCUGGGUCAAAUGGUAUUUCUAGUUCUAGAUCCCUGAGGAAUCGCCACACUGACUUCCACAAUGGUUGAACUAGUUUACAGUCCCACCAACAGUGUAAAAGUGUUCCUAUUUCUCCACAUCCUCUCCAGCACCUGUUGUUUCCUGACUUUUUAAUGAUCGCCAUUCUAACUGGUGUGAGAUGGUAUCUCAUUGUGGUUU